rnacentral:misc_RNA from 1 species
GAUGAAGACGCAGCGAAAUGCGAUACUUGGUGUGAAUUGCAGAAUCCCGUGAACCAUCGAGUCUUUGAACGCAAGUUGCGCCCGAAGCCACUAGGCCGAGGGCACGCCUGCCUGGGCGUCACACGCCGUUGCCCCCCCAUCUACUCCUUCGGGAUUGCGGGGGGGCGGAUGAUGGCCUCCUGUGCGCCUAGCCGCGCGGUUGGCAUAAAUACCAAGUCCUCGGCGACGCACGCCACGACAAUCGGUGGUUGCGAAACCUCGGUUGCCCGUCGUGUGCGUUCGUCGCGCAUCGAGGGCUCGAAAAAAUGCUCGGCUCCGGCUCGGCUUUCAACGCGACCCCAGGUCAGGCGGGGUUACCCGCUGAAUUUAAGCAUAUCAAUAAGCGGAGGA